UACGUAGGGUGCAAGCGUUGUCCGGAAUUAUUGGGCGUAAAGAGCUCGUAGGCGGUGUGUCGCGUCGGCCGUGAAAACCUGCAGCUUAACUGUGGGCUUGCGGUCGAUACGGGCAUCACUGGAGUUCGGCAGGGGAGACUGGAAUUCCUGGUGUAGCGGUGAAAUGCGCAGAUAUCAGGAGGAACACCGGUGGCGAAGGCGGGUCUCUGGGCCGAGACUGACGCUGAGGAGCGAAAGCGUGGGGAGCGAACAGG
rnacentral:rRNA from 1 species